GCAGUUUGAAGUUGGAUAGGAUUUCUAUGAUAUCUAAAGAUUUACUAAUUGGAUCAAGGUGAAAUUUGGCAUAGUCUUAAAAGACUUCAAUGUUUAUCUACUUACAAAUUUCGAAUUAAAAUUAACAGUUGAAAAAGGAGAAAUCACUACUAAGACAUCUGCAUUAACUUUCAAGUUGGUAGCCAAGUAUUAUUAAUGUAGUUUUUGAGCUUUUUCUCACAAUCUAUAAAUUAGAUUGAAUUUUUUGGAGCAUAUAGAAGACUUAAAGUGGAAUUUUUGUACAAAAUUUUACACCAAAUAGAUGAUUAGAUUAAGAAAUAUAGCUUGCUAAAACUUACUAAUUAUAGUUAGGACUUGCAAAGAAAAAUAAAAAUAGCCUAAUUAUAAAAGUAAUAAGGCAACUAAAAUUUACAAAUAGUUGAGGUUACUAAAGAGAGUAUUUUUGAGUACUUUGUAUUAGCUUUAAGUACUAUUGAAUUGAAAUUUGAAUUACUUUGUAUUAAGAUGGUUAAAAUCUAUUAGAAUUUUUUUAAUAUUUGUAAAAUAUAAUUU
rnacentral:lncRNA from 1 species